rfam:Heterocephalus glaber contig16640, whole genome shotgun sequence.
GGGAAACUCCCCGGCCCCGCUGUAGAGGGACCAUCAGCGACCGGGCCAGAAAUCAUUAGGUCCCAA